GAAGUGUAAGCAAUUUGCGAUGGACUUCACCAAAAUAUGCUUUAAGCAUUGCUUCCGCGAAGCAAACCAAGUUGCUGAUUCUCUAGCCAUUUUUUUAGUAGCCGAUCUUCUAAUUGUUGGAAGAUUCGAUCCCAGACUUUGCUUCUCGUCUCCUUAUAAAUGAUAUGACCAUUAUAUGAGAAAUAUAGUCUAUUACCCAUCAAAGAAAUGUACGAUUCACACAAGCUAUCAUUUUUUAAAUCGACAAAGCAUGAAACUAUAUUAUUAUUAUUAGUUUCCAAAAAAAAUACAAUUCAAUCCCAAUUUGAAGCAACAAUUAAAAAACAAAAUAUUAAGAAACACUAUACCUAUUUGUUCUCUGAUAAAGGUCCAUCUAUUUAUGCGUUGGCAUAGCUAUUGUUUGUUGCUUCACUGUUAGUGAACUUCAAAAUUUGUACCAAAAUCGCUUACGUGGUUCCAUGAUAGUAACUUACAUUUCUAUAGCUUCCUAAUCAGACAUACAUUAUUGAAUAAAAAAUUAUGCAAUUGUUUUUAAUAAUUUUAAAUUAAAAUUUAAUUGCCAAUGGACUCUUUAUAUUAUCACAACCUUUAAAGCACGCUUUGACGGCCUGACUUGAUUAAUAAAAAGACGGAGAGACCCGUGGCCACACACACCACUGACACUCUCAUCUUCCUCCCUAUCUCUCUCUCUCUCACACGGACAAAGUACAAGCUGCGCCUCCGCCUUCCCACUGCCUCCCGUCGCUGGCGCAGGGACCCUCCCCCUCCCUUGAUGCGCGCUGCUUUGGCAGGGACCACCCCUCCCCUGCCUCCCAGUCCCCACCGCUGCUGAGACGCCGCCCUUCCCUUGCAUCUCCACCUCCAUCGAUGGAUGGAGGCGCACACUUCGGCUCCACCAGAUCCUCGGUUGCGGACUCGACGCGAGCGAUGGAGGGCUCUGCAGCGCCUAACUCCUCCUCCUGCGGGAAAAGACGCGGAAUCGGAGCGAGCGCUGAUGAGCGCCAGCGAGGACGCGCUGCUCCGGUGGGUUGGGCGUAUCGCGAGCCUCACCGUGUGGCCAAGUACGACGUGCUCCAGAGUGGAGUGGUCGACGCCCUCCCCACCUCGCCCGUGUCUGGUAUUUCGUCAUCCGCCCUCUAUUCGGUUCAGCUCUGUUCCGCUGUGUGCGCCUUGACGCCGCCGCCCUAGCCACAGCCCCACACCUCGCGCCACGGCCGCCACAAUCCCAUGGCUUGGCAUAAGUGUGAUCUAAUAAUUCAGAAAUGUUUUUCUGUAAUCAAUUGCUCAUGCAAUUCUAUAGGCUGUGGAAACUGCUCUUUUACACUGGUACAAUUGCAGUGUUAAGCUGUAACUUAUUUGUAGUUUAUUCACAAUGAGUACAUAAUAUCUCUAUAUAAUGCCACACCAAAAAGGCAUAUUUGAUUAGUCUUGUUUGGUCGAACAUUCUCACAUGUAAUUCUGGAUGCUCUAGCUGAUCUGUGUUGUCAUUUAUAACAAGAUGCAUUGUUGUAUAUCUGAACAGCAGGUUUAGUUCUGACAGAAAAAGCAAUAGGGCAGGUACAACAUGAAGUUAGGUUCUAGUGUUUUAUAUACAGUGCGGGUACAUCUUCCUUGCUUAGUCUAAUUGUGAUUGUCAAGUAUUCCUUGAUUGCUGAUUUUUUUUUUGUGAAAUCUUCUUGUGCAUAUAUGAAGGGAAGCAAGCUUGGAUUCACUGAAUGAUGUGUACACACCAAGUGCGCCUCAGUUUCAUAAUAGCAAGCAACCCCAUUCUGAGGUUCUUCUGAUCAUGGCACUCUUAAUAAUUGAAGGGGAGAGUUGGUGUUCAUGAAACCAGAUUGCUUUGCUUGCUACAGAGUAUGAGCCACCAAGAUUUGUUUCCCGUGAGGCGUGAGCUGGCUUCCUACGCCCAGACGGUGGCUUGAUGUUAAGGUAAAGAAAAAUCUGAUCAAAGUUAGUACCUGAUCCAAGUUCGUUGGCUUGUGGUGAGGGCCUCAAUGUGGCAACGGCGGCACCCUGUGCUCGCAUCCGUGGGUCAGUAGGGAAGAUCUGCAGGCGGCCACGGCGCCCUGCCCUGACGUUCGUGGGGCAGCAGAGGUGGAGCGGACGGUGGCGCCGGAAAUCCUUGCUGGCAUCCAUGGGGCAGCAGAGGAGAGCGGCAAGCAGCGACAGCGGCCUGCGCUCGCGUCCUUGGGGCUGUAGAGGAGCGGACAGCGGCGGCUGAGUCCAGUGUUCGCGUCCAUUGGGCAGCAGAAGAGGAGAGAAUCGCGGCAACGUCGAUUAGCGCUCGCGUCCAUGGGGCAACAGCCAGCAGAGGAGGAGCGGCGGGCCGGUGGCGGGGAUCCGCACUGGCGUCCGUGCGGCAGCAAAGGAGGACAGACAAAUUGUGAUUGUGAGGGCAGAGAAAAUUACGGGAUUGAAAUCCCCUAUCCCCGCUAAUUGAGGACGAAGGGUUGCGGUGGGCAGUCUGCUCCGGCAGAACAUUUCAUCUGGAUCGUUCAUUUGUGUGGCAGACCCUUGAUGUAAUAUGGACCGCUAGAUGUGAUUUAAUUGGAUUGAUCGAACGCCUCUAGUAAUCCUGUGUACACUUUAUGGUGUGUCUGUAGGGGAAAUCAUGUUUGCUCUUUUAAUAGUAGUAUAGAUAUAGAUAUAGAUUAGCCGCAGCCUAUAUAGGUGAAUCCAUGGAGGGUCAUCAUUGAAUUGACUAGUUUUAGAAA